rnacentral:rRNA from 1 species
UACAGAGGCCUCGAGCGUUAGGCGGAAUCACUGGGCUUAAAGCGCGUGUAGGCGGAUCGUUAAGUGUCUUGUGAAAUCCCACGGCUCAACCGUGGAACUGCGUGGGCAUACUGGCGAUCGUUGGGCCACUCGAGGGGCGACCGGAACAAGCGGUGGAGCGGUGAAAUGCGUAGAUAUCGCUUGGAACGCCAAAGGGUGAAGACAGGUCGCUGGGGGUGUGCCGACGCUGGAGAACGGCGAAAGCCAGGGGAGCAAACGG